rnacentral:lncRNA from 1 species
GUGGACACUGUGUGUGUGUGUGUGCUUGAUGCAUGAGUGCAAGCUAAGGAAAGCUGCAGACAGUGUGUACAGCGCUGUAGACAAGUUUACGUCUAACAAAUGCCAGUAUGCAGAGACAAUGGCUAUUGCGCAUUCGUGUACAACGGUUUCUGCUUCUUGAAGGCCAACGUGGCUGCGGCGUGUCCAACAGGCAACAUAUAUAACGCUGGCUGUGCCGGACGCAGCUGUGCCUGCUGUGUCCCAGAUGUAACCAAGUGCAUUGCGAAGCCUAAGUGUUAUAAACUUGGAGGUUCUUGCGUGAAGACUGCCGAUCCUUGCGCCAAGGCUAAUAGGAACCCUACUUUUUGCAAAGGGACCGGUUGUGCCUGCUGUUAUUAAGAACUGACGACGGCGAGGCAGAGGGCAGACUUAACCAUACACAUGGAAGGUCAAUUGAGCUGUUAACUCUUACCACGAAGACAUUCCUUAGAAAAUAAAAAGUAGAGUGUAUCAUUUAACUCUUUUUUUUAGUAUUGGUGUUCAAUUGUGUGUGAGGGAUGAUUAGGAAUUACUUAUUCCAUACGUAGGUUCAUCAGCAUUAUAAUGAGGCUCUCAUACAUUACCCUCCGGUUUAGCAAUGCAUUAAAUCCCACUUAAUCAAUGCAUAUUUUUAUUAAAAAUGCUGAAAAAAAUCUAAAUUUUCUAAAAAUUAAUUAUAUAUUUGUGUUAAUGUGUGUGAAAGGCAGAUCCUUGCCUAAAAAUUUGCACUGCACUGAAAAUUCCAGAAUUUAACAAUAGUGUGCUUAUUCAUUUAGGUAAUUCACAAAAUAGCUAAUACUAAAAUAAUUGUUUAUUUUCUGAAUUAUCCAUCCUCUACAUUUAUUGUGUAGUUAAAUUUCACUCUAAUUUUAAUUGGAAUUACAAAUUAUUUUCCAUACGGAAUCUAUCAAUAAUGAUCCUGUGGUUUGUGCACGAAGAUAUUAUGUGAUUAAAUAUAUGUUUGACAAACACGCAAGUUUCAUAGUCCUUUACCAUAUGCCGUUACAGGAUUUCUCCAUGUGAAUACUCGAUCUUCUACCAUAAAUACCACCAUCACACAGAACAAUCACCACCACACAGAACCACCACCAUCACACAGAGCCACCACCAUCACUUAGAACCACCACCAUCACAUAAAACCACCACCAUCACACAGAACCACCACCAUCACA